GGGAGAACCAUUUCUAUGUUUGUGAGGUGCACUGGACUGCUAGCCCUCGCUGCUGAACUCCUUUGUUAAGGGCCUUAUCUAAUGGGAUCAGAUCUUUAAACAAGGCUUGGAUCUUUCCCUGUGUAUGAAUUACUCAUGGAUAAAGCUGCACAGAGCUUUAAUAUCAGGCCUUCUAAACAGGAUCAGAAGGGCACAGCCUAAAAACGUCUAAAAUUUCCGGAUUGGGUGGCUGUGGUGUUCAAAAGCCAUGUGCAUUGCAUCUGAACAAAGUGAUGCCAUCACGCUGAUUGCAGGGACGUGAACACUUCAGCAAUUCAGUUCCAAAUGGAGCGCAAACUGGCUCACACUGGUGAAAUUCCACACAAAGUCCCGACAUUCCUCCAGUCCUCUUGGGCUCUGCUGGGCUCCAGCUGCAGUCAAUAAUUGAUACAAAGUCUGGGGCUGGGAGCAGAGUACAUAGGAACGUGGGUCCUUGUGAAAUUCUGAGUUUUGAACCUUUUGAACAUGUGAGUGCUGUAAAGGCAGUCUGAGCAUCCAGAAUGCCUUACCCAGUUAACCAAUCUGUGUGCAAGCUGAGACAGUUUCCCAGUUAGAUUUGUCCUAUUUCGCUACU